rnacentral:tRNA from 1 species
AACUUUCUAGUAUAAAGAGUUAAUACAAGUGACUUCCAAUUACUUAACCUUGGUUAGAGCCCAAGGAAAGAUA